rnacentral:rRNA from 1 species
UACUUGGACAACUGUGGUAAUUCUAGAGCUAAUACACGCAGAAAGGGUGCAUUUAUUAGAACAAAACCAAUUUUGGUGAAUCUGAAUAACUCAUGGUCUCGUACCGGCGACAUAUCCUUCAAGUGUCUGCCUUAUCAACUGUCGAUGGUAGUUUAUAUGACUACCAUGGUUGUAACGGGUAACGGAGAAUUAGGGUUCGACUCCGGAGAGGGAGCCUGAGAAACGGCUACCACAUCCAAGGAAGGCAGCAGGCGCGCAAAUUACCCACUCUCAGAGAGGAGGUAGUGACGAAAAAUAACGACCAAUUCCUCUAUUGGAUCGGAAUGGGUACAACUUAAACCCGUUAACGAGGAUCUAUUGGAGGGCAAGUCUG